AGUCUGCCUCCCUCGGCGGGCCGGGUCUCCAGGGAGGACCUGAUUUUUCUUCACCCAUAGUUAGGGAGGCGCAAUCGCCCUGGCUUUGGGGCUGGGGCCUCCGGGGAGGUUCCGGUAGGGGCGUUGGAGAGGCCGCUCUUUUUGCAAGGCCCGAGACGGCGGGCCCUGCGCAGGCCGCCCUAUUCCGCGCCCUCAGGGCGUCAGUAUCCGCCUGAGGCCGGAUACCCCAGCUGGGCCCGGAUGCCGUCGAUGGGCCCGGAGCAUCCUCGGCGCUGCCCUCCCAGAGCCCCGCAGAGGCUGAGGUGGCGCGGGGGGCGGGCCCGGCUCCGCGAGAAGCAGCGGCAGCGAGGGCUGGAGGACCCGGGCUACGGGGCUCUGGGGCGUCUGGCCUGGGUGGGACUGAGCCCAUUCGGGGGGACUCCGGGGUUCUGGUGUAGGUAGAUCCGGGGCAGGCUCAGGACCAAGUCCCUCUCCUUCCACCAAGGAGCGCCCAGAGGCCGGCGGGAGCUCCAGGUUCACCUCCUCCUCCUCCAGGAAAUCCCACUUCCAACUGGAUGUCUGGAUGAACUACUGAAAGCUGCUGAGUGUCCUGCAGCAGAGCCAAGAGCUGGUUAGAGCUGCAAGGACACCGCCUGCACAGGAUGCCCGGGGCUGGGCAUUACCUGCUGCAAUGACAACAUCUGGCUGGAUGGCAGAGAGCUGACAGACCGUCGCGACGUCCCAGUCCAGCUGGGCCACUGUCACCCUGGGGCUGUCUAAGUUGGCAGUGAUAUCUGCACCUAAUGAGAGGCCAUUGAGAAGGACAUUCCCUCAGAGCUGCUAGAGGACCCAGCUGUGACAGUCCCUGAAGAUGUAUGCCCGGGGGUGGCACAUCUUGCAGAUGGCCAGGCCUGUGAGGCCAGCACCACUGCCAAGCUCUAGGACAGUCCUGGUGGGAGGAAAGGGGGUCAUGUCUGCGACUGCACCAGGGUAAGCCUGCCUCGGUGCCCUGCCCUGUGCCCUGAGGUCACCUAUCAGUGAAGGCUGCUGGGUUCUCGAUGGCCCAUUCUGCAAGGUAGAGGGCGGCAUCCCAUGUGACCAGGACUGUGAUGCCGUGGGAGAUGAUGGCUGUGCUCUUGGAGAGUGUGACUGAGCCUCCCGAGGGCAGCACCAAGAGAAGGCGAGAGAGUCAGUCCAGCGAUCAGAAGGCAAGUGGCUUAGAAGACAAGCAGCCAUCCACCACAUGGCUGAAUAAACCAUGACAGGACAAAUCGCCACUCAGCAAUGAGAAGCAGCUAACUGUUGACAUGCCAACAGCUUGCACAGGCCUCAAGGGUGUCACGUGGCAUGAAAGACACUCAUCUCAGGCCACACAGGAUUCCAUUCAUUGAACAUUCCUGAGACAAUGGAAUUCUGGCGAUGGAGCACAGGAUGCUUCACAGUCUACUGCAAGGGACAGAACAUUGGUUGCUCGAGAGCCCGUCUUAAGUCGCCUAUGAGCCUCAAGCCAACAUGGCAGAGGGCAAACUCCAGGCUACCGGAUCCCUCAGCAAAGAUGCAGAUGGACACAGCGUUCUGGCCCCAUGCAUCUGAAGUUUGUCUUAAGCUA
rnacentral:lncRNA from 1 species